rnacentral:rRNA from 1 species
UACGGAGGGUGCAAGCGUUGUCCGGAAUCACUGGGCGUAAAGGGCGCGUAGGCGGCUCGGUAAGUAGGGGGUGAAAUCCUGCGGCUUAACCGCAGGGCUGCCUUCUAAACUGUCGAGCUUGAGCACGGUAGAGGCAGAUGGAACUCCCGGUGUAGCGGUGGAAUGCGUAGAGAUCGGGAAGAACAUCAGUGGCGAAGGCGGUCUGCUGGGCCGUUGCUGACGCUGAGGCGCGACAGCGUGGGGAGCAAACAGG